UCACCAACUUCUACAGAUGCUCCACUGAAAGCAUACUGUCUGGGUACAUAAUGGCCUGGUAUGCCAACUGCUCUGCCCUGGACCGUAAGAAACUACAGAAGGUGUUACGUGCAGUCGAGACCAUCACAGAAGCUAACCUUCUAUCCAUGGACUCCAUUUGCAUGGCUCGCUGCCGUGGAAAUGUGGCCAACAUCAUCAAAGAUCCUUCAUACCCUGGUAAUGAUCUCCUACGACCUCUUUCGUCAGGCAGAAGAUACAGAAGCCUCAACACACACAUGAACAGGUACAAGGAGCUGAAGGAUCUACUUGUCAAACUUCGCUCAAAGGGGCUGACAGACUACUGUCACAAAAAAAGGACCUGUUGGAAAAUCAAGAUUGUAGCACUUACACAGUUAUUUCCUCAGUAAAUACUGUCAAAGCAGGGCAUCGUGAAACAUGGUGGGUUGUCAUGGAGAUAGGCUGUAAUGGUGAAGAUAUCCCAAUGUUUAAUCACUGCAUCCCUGGCCACUGCAGAGGAACAGGAAGUAGGUGCCAGUGAUAUAGUCAAUACGUGCCUGGAACUGGAGCUGAGCACCCACUUCACUUACAGACACCAGCACCAUGCUAAUGAUGCUGGCCAUCCAACUGAAUGUUCACCCUCACCAUCUACAGUCGCCACUCUGUCGUUCUGCUUGGAGCCCUACUCACUGGCCUGCUCCGCACUCCAUUUCAUUCGCCUGCCAGUUUAUUCCAGGUCUGCACAAAGAUGUAAUUUUAGAAAGACCCUCCAACAUUUGUUGUCCACUACUUCACCUGACAAAAGGAGCAGUGCUUUGAAAGCUUGUGAUUUUAAAUAAACCUUUGGACUAUAACCUGGAGUCAUGUAACUUCGGCUUUAUAGGUAUGACAACUGAUGCUCGAUAAAUGAUUAAUUCUAAACACAAGACUGAUUGACUGUCAUGAUCUCAGUGAAUGGUGGAACAAGCUCCGAAUUAAAUGUCCUGCUCUUGGUCUGGUAACUGGGGAGAGGGUUAUUCUCUUUGACUGACUAU